CGGCGGCGGCGCAGGCACUGGUUUCCUCAUCCAUCGUAACCUCCUCCUCACAACGCAUGCCUGUCUCCCUUCUACUGCGGUGGCUGAGGAGACCGAGAUCCAACUCUUCCGUGGCUGCACUGUUGGCCGCCUCGUCCCUCAGAGUUAUCUUCAUCGUGUUGGUCGUACUGCUCGAGCUGGGCGCGAAGGAUAUGCUGUUACAUUUCUCACAGAUGAUGAUAGAUCUCUAUUAAAGGCCAUUGAGCUCAAGUGGGGAUGGACUGGACUACUAUACUGAAGAAGAGGAAUGAAUUCAGGGUGGCAUUUGUUGAAUUUGAUGCAGAGUCUGUCUCCAAGUUCACAGAGAAGCAGAUGGUUUCCAUCAGUGUGGAACUGAAGCUGGAUUUAGGAAGAGUUCGAGGAAUAUCACUAUCUAUUUUGAAACAGAAUUAGUGUUAAUUUUGA